rnacentral:rRNA from 4 species
UCGCGGCGGCGUGCGCAGAAGGGUCUGGGCUCGAGCCUGCCUGGAGCCGCCGCCGGUGCAGAUCUUGGUGGUAGUAGCAAAUACUCCAGCGAGGCCCUGGAGGACUGAUGUGGAGAAGGGUUUCGUGUGAACAGCCGUUGCACACGAGUCAGUCGAUCCUAAGCCCUAGGAGAAAUCCGACGCCUACGGCGACGGGAUUUUUGAAAAUUUUAAUAACCCGUUGAUCGGGCGAAAGGGAAUCCGGUUCCUAUUCCGGAACCCGGCAGCGGAACCGCUGUUUGUCGGGCCCUCACAAGGGGUUCGUCAGGGUAACCUAAAAGGGCCCGGAGACGCCGUCGGGAGCCCCGGAAAGAGUUUUCUUUUCUGCAUGAGCGUUCGAGUUCCCUGGAAUCCUCUCGCAGGGAGAUAGGGUUUGGAACGCGAAGAGCACCGCAGUUGCGGCGGUGCCCGGGAAUUCCCGACGGACCUUGAAAAUCCGGGAGAGGGCCACGUGGAGGUGUCGCGCCGGCUCGUACCCAUAUCCGCAGCAGGUCUCCAAGGUGAAGAGCCUCUAGUCGAUAGAAUAAUGUAGGUAAGGGAAGUCGGCAAAUCGGAUCCGUAACUUCGGG